rnacentral:rRNA from 1 species
UACAGAGGGUGCGAGCGUUGUCCGGAAUCACUGGGCGUAAAGGGCGCGUAGGCGGUCUGGUAAGCGUGUGGUGAAAGCCCGGGGCUCAACCCCGGGUCGGCCAUGCGAACUGCUGGACUGGAGCAGAUCAGAGGCAGGCGGAAUUCCGGGUGUAGCGGUGGAAUGCGUAGAGAGUCCGGAAGAACACCCGGUGGCGAAGGCGGCCUGCUGGGAUCUUGCUGGACGGCUGAGGCGCGACAGCGUGGGGAGCAAACAGG